AACGAACGCUGGCGGCGUGCCUAACACAUGCAAGUCGAACGAGAAAGGGGUUUCGGCUCCGAGUAAAGUGGCGCACGGGUGAGUAACACGUGGGUAACCUGCCUCUAAGAUUGGGAUAACUCGUCGAAAGAUGAGCUAAUACCGAAUAAGACCACAGUUCCCGCGGGAACAGGGGUCAAAGGUAGCCUCUGCUUGCAAGCUAUCACUGGGAGUUGGGCCUGCGCACCAUUAGCUAGUUGGUAGGGUAACGGCCUACCAAGGCAAGGAUGGUUAGCUGGUCUGAGAGGAUGAUCAGCCAGACUGGGACUGAGACACGGUCCAGACUCCUACAGGAGGGAGCAGGAGGGAAUAGUGAGGAAGAAGCGAAAGCCAGACGCAGCAACGCCGCAUGAGGGAGGAGGGCCGUCGGGUCGGAAAGGUCUGUCGGGAGGAACGAAUGCGCUUGAGGUUAACAGCAUCGGGAGGUGACGGUACCUUCAAAGGAAGCACCGGCUAACUCUGUG
rnacentral:rRNA from 1 species